GAUGAAGAACGUAGCGAAAUGCGAUAAGUAAUGUGAAUUGCAGAAUUCAGUGAAUCAUCGAAUCUUCGAACGCACAUUGCGCCCGCCAGUAUUCUGGCGGGCAUGCCUGUUCGAGCGUCAUUACAACCCUCAGGCCCCCGGGCCUGGCGUUGGGGAUCGGCGGAGCCCCCCGUGGGCACACGCCGUCCCCCAAAUACAGUGGCGGUCCCGCCGCAGCUUCCAUCGCGUAGUAGCUAACACCUCGCGACUGGAGAGCGGCGCGGCCACGCCGUAAAACACCCAACUCUUCUGAAGUUGACCUCGAAUCAGGUAGGAAUACCCGCUGAACUUAAGCAUAUCAAUAAGCGGAGGA
rnacentral:misc_RNA from 1 species